rnacentral:lncRNA from 1 species
GACAGUUUUUUCAGAUAGUCUCCCCUUCUUUUCUUAUCUAUAACAUGCCAAAAGGGAAAAAAAUUAUUAAAAAGAAAUCAGCUAGCUUAUUAUUCUUUUUGGUUUCUCCUAGCAGCAGACACAAAAAUAAUCAAAAGAGAUGUGCAAGUUAAUCUCACAUGGUAAAUUUUUCCAGUACUGAUAUUAUUGUCUCUUCUCAACUUGAUAUCCAGAAAAUUCAUGAUUUCUGAUGUCCAGGUUCACCUUUAAAACAACAAAAAAAAAGUCAUUUUCUUCCCAACCUUUUAAGUUGUGAUACUUUCUAAAUAAUAAUCAAUAGAAAUGAUAAAAGAAAUGAUAAUUGAAAAUUACUCGAUUUUUAGGAAUUAUAUAAAAAGGAAAUAAGAAACUCCCACAUCUACAAAAUAAAAUAAAAAAAGCAUGUAAAAGAUGUUGACUUAUUUGCUAAUCUUAGCUAAUUCUAGGGAUUUGAUUUGAUCUGAUUAGGAUUCUUAAUUAUGUCUGUAAUUAUUAUUUGAUUAAUUAUUUGCUUCCUAUUUAGAUAUGAUUCUUUGUGUAUAAAUAGUCAUGUAGACCAAUUGUAAAGAUUAAGAGUGAAAUACAAGAAUACUCAAAAUUUUUCCAAAAUUCUUCAUGGUAUCAUAGCCUUUUCCUGAUUUUUUGGGUCCAAAUUUAAUUUUUCUUCUUUAGGGUUUCAAAACCUUAGAUCUACCUUUUUUGGUACUAAUCUAUCUAGGAGCCUCUCAUUCUCUCACCGCCGACACCAGGAGAACCGCCGAACUGCCGCCGGACUGCCGCCGGCCGAUCAACCAGCUCCGAUGUCGGAAAAGCCUAUGCGUGAGGCUCACGCGCCACCCCUUCCCGGCGCGUGACCUGUCACUUCCUAGCGCAUGACCCAUUGUCUGUCACUGCAUCGCCGCUCCGAUCACUCCGGCGACGAUUCCGACCAUCUUUCCGGCCUUCUCGUGCUGUUACUCGGUCUUUUGGUGAAUCAAUUGGGCUUUCUUGUAUGUACAACCUUGGGUACCUCCUAUUCUUUCACGGUUCAUAAAUCUUUACUAUGGCAGAAGGUAAAAGGGUCUCGAUUCCUAAAACUCUGAUAAUCCUUCCUUGCAAAUUAGUCCCAUAAAACUUGAUGGAACCAAUUAUCUUGCUUGGUCAAAGUCUUGUUUGUUGUUCAUAAAUCUUUACUAUGGCAGAAGGUAAAAGGGUCUCGAUUCCUAACUCUGAUAAUCCUUCCUUGCAAAUUAGUCCCAUAAAACUUGAUGGAACCAAUUAUCUUGCUUGGUCAAAGUCUUGUUUGUUGUUUAUCAAGGCUAGAGGACUGCAGGAUUAUGUUACUGGUAAUAAAAAACAACCUGAUGAGAGGGAUCCAGAUUUUCCUCAAUGGGACUCGGAUAAUUGUCUUGUUAUGACAUGGUUACUGAACUCUAUGCAACCUCAUAUCUCUAAGUCCUAUUUGUUAAUUGAUACUGCUGCAAAAAUAUGGAAAGCUUUGUCCUUAACUUAUUCCAAGAUUGGGAAUGAUGCCCAAAUUUAUGAUAUUCGGAAUAAGAUUCAUGGUACUAAGCAAGGAGAAAUGACUAUCUCCCAAUUUUAUUCUGAGUUAUGUGGCUUAUAAUAGGAGCUUGAUUACUAUCAAGACUUCUAGGCAUACUGCACUGGAGAUACAGUCAAAUUUCGGAGAAUGAUUGAAAAGAAGCGGGUCUAUGAUUUUCUUGCAGGGUUGAAUAACGAAUAUGAUCCAAUUCGGGUCCAAGUGUUGGGAAGAAAUCCUUUUCCUUCUCUAGAAGAGGCCCACGCCCAUGUUCAACAAGAGGAAAGUCGUCGACAUGUUAUAUACUGCACCAGUUGAAAAGGCUGGGUUGACUACUAGUUUGAGCACACCACAACCUCCUACUAUUGAGAAAGAUCACUUACACUAUGACUAUUGUGGAAAACCGAGGCAUACCAAAGAGACUUGUUGGAAGUUACAUGGUCGUCCCACUAGAGGUCGUGGAGGAAAAUGAGGUACCUCUAGAAAUCAAGCUACUUUAGCAGAAACUGUGGAGGAGCCCUUUAAGGAGACAACAACGACUGAGUUUCUUUCCCCUAAUGAACUUCAAAGUCUCAAGCGCUUCUUGUCUCAUAUUGACACCUCUUCAUCCUCUGAUGCCACAUCUAACUUUGUAAAGUCAGGUAAUGCUUCCUCUUUUAAUAAUGUUCCAUAGAUUAUCGAUUCUGGUGCGAAUAGACAUAUGACAGGCUCUUCUAAAGGCUUUCUCAAUUAUUCUCCUUCUCUAACCAAAGACAGUGUUAGAAUUGUUGAUGGCUCUUUUACUCCCAUAUCCGGAACAGGUUCUGUUAUUUGCACAUCCAACAUUAAAUUAUCAUUUGUCCUUCAUGUUCCCCACUUUCCUGUCAACCUUUUAUCUGUCAGUGUUAUCACCAAUGCUCUUAACUAUAAAAUUGAAUUCUUUCCUGAUCAUUGUGUUAUUCAGGAUCUUCGCACAGGGAAGAGGAUUGGCAAUGGUAGGCUGCAUGAUGGCUUAUACAUGUUGGAGGGUGAUCCGGGUUCUUCGAUAUCUCAAGCCUGUUUUGGAGAAAAUAAGGAUGUCAAUCGGGAAAUAAUACAGUGGCACCGGCGGUUAGGGCAUCCAUCAUUUUUUAUCUUAGAAAAACUUUAUCCUGAUCUGUUUGCUAAAACCCAGUUUGGCUCUUUAUUUUGUGAUGCUUGUGAGUAUGCUAAACACACUAGAACAUCCUAUCCUUUGAGUCAUAAUAAAAGUCAAAUUUCUUUUGACAACUAUUCAUUCUGAUGUUUGGGAGCCUACUCAAACUGUCUCCUUAUCCGGUAAUCGAUGGUUUGUCACCUUUAUUGAUUGUUGUACUCGAAUGACUUGGGUCUAUCUGAUUAAAGCUAAAAGUGAUGUCUUUUCUUGUUUUCAAUAUUUUCAUAAGAUGGUUUGUACUCAAUUUGAUACUAAAGUGAAAAUUUUGAGAACUGAUAAUGGAAGAGAAUACAUGGAUAGUACCUUUUCUGCUUAUUUGGAGUAAUGGGAUAGUACACCAGACUAGUUGUCCUUAUACUAGUGCUCAAAAUGGCGUUGCUGAGAGAAAAAAUAGGCAUCUAUUGGAGGUAGCUCGAUCUCUUAUGUUCACCAUGAAUCUAUCCAAAGCAUAUUGGGGAGAUGCAAUCCUUAUAUCUGCUUACCUUAUAAAUAGAAUGCCUCUCAAGACCCUUGACUUUAUGAGUCCUUUAGCGGUUCUACAAGAGAAGAAUUCAUAUUGUUGAAUCCCACAUCGGUUGUGGAAAGGGGUAAUGUGCCCCUUAUAUGGGCCAUAGGCACUCCUCCCCCUUGAGCUAGCUUUUGGGGUGAGUUAGGCCUGGCCCAAAUUUAACAUGAUAUCAGAGCCUCCCCAUCCGAUGUUGGGCACCCCAUAAAUGUGCCACGCACCGGUAAAAAUUCUGGACGUGAGGGGGUGUGUUGAAUCCCACAUCGGUUGUGGAAAGGGGUAAUGUGCCCCUUAUAUGGGCCAUAGGCACUCCUCCCCCUUGAGCUAGCUUUUGGGGUGAGUUAGGUCUGGCCCAAAUUUAACACAUAUGUUGUUCCACCAAAAGUAUUUGGGUGUGUUUAUUUUGUCCAUACUAGGACGGUAGGGAAAUUGGAUCCCAAGGCCCUCAAAUGUGUGUUUGUUGGGUAUUCUCCGACACAGAAGGGAUAUAGGUGUUAUCACCCUCCCUCUAGAAAAUACUUAGUCAGUAUGGAUGUUACCUUUCGAGAAACUGAACCCUACUUCAAUACCACCCACUCACCUCUUCAGGAGGAGAAUAAUGAGCAAGAAGAGGUGAUCCCGAAUUGUGUGAUUCUGGAUAAUAUGGUUCAACUAGAGAGUUUGAGUUCUAAUCGACGGGGGAGAUGUCCAAUCAGGGAGAAAGAAUUGGUCGUUUGGACAAACCAGAUUUGAGAAGGUAUUCAAGGAGAGACAAGGCAGAAGAAGCCAUUAUGCAGUCUACUCAGAGUUAAGAAUCUUCUUCUGGUGAGUUACCCACAACUCUUGAAUGCUUCAAUGAUUUAGAUAAACCGAUUGCACAAAGAAAACGAGUUAGAUCUCGUACUAAACAUCCUCUUUCUAACUUUGUUUCUUAUGAAUCCUUGUCUCCUUCCUAUAGAGCCUUUGCCUUGCCUAUUUCCUCUGUAUCUAUUUCACAGGAUUGGAAGAAAGCUCUUGCAGAACCUAAAUGGAAGGACGCAAUGAUUGAAGAGAGGAAAGCAUUGGCUAAAAAUGAAACCUAGGAGCUUGUCACUCUUCUACCUGGAAAGAAACUCGUUGGCUGUAAGUGGGUGUUCACAGUGAAAUACAAAGCUGAUGGUACAAUCGAAUGAUUUAAGGCCAGAUUGGUUGCUAAAGAUUUCACCCAAACCUAUGGAGUGGAUUAUCAAGAGACAUUUACCCCAGUUGCAAAAAUAAAUUCAAUCAGAAUUCUAUUAUCUUGCGCGGCCAACUUGGACUGGGACUUACAACAGUUUGAUGUGAAGAAUGCUUUCCUCCAUGGAGAUUUAGAGGAAGAAGUAUUCAUGGAAAUUCCUCUUGGGUUCGCUGAUGAGAAGACACAAGGAAAGGUGUGCAAGUUAAAAAAAGCUUUGUAUGGGCUAAAACAAUCUCCCAGAGCUUGGUUUGACAGGUUUAGUGGAGCCAUGAUGUCUUUUGGUUACCAACAAAGCAAUGUUGAUCACACUUUGUUUAUCAAACAUCAUAAGGGUAAGAUCACCCUUCUUAAUGUGUAUGUUGAUGAUAUAGUGUUGACAGGUGAUGACAAAGAGGAAAUGGCUCAACUAAAGAGGUUGUUGGCUCAGGAAUUUGAAAUCAAAGAUCUGGGAAAACUGCAAUAUUUUCUAGGUAUUGAGAUGGCUAGAUCAGAAAAAGGAAUUUUCAUCUCCCAAAGAAAGUACAUUAUGGAUCCUUUGGAAGAAACUGGUAUGAUGGGGUGUAAACCAGCAGAAUCUCCAAUUGAAAGUAAUCACAAGCUGAAAGCAAGAACUGGCGAGUCCGUGGAUAUUGGAAGAUAUCAGAGAUUGGUAGGAAGGUUGAUUUAUCUCUCACAUACUCGACCGGAUAUAGCCUAUGUUGUUAGCUUAGUCAGCCAAUUCAUGCAUGACCCUCGCGAGACUCAUAUGCAAGCUGUACUUCGCAUCUUGAGAUACCUAAAGUCUACGCCAGGGAAAGUGUUUUUUUACUCCAAACAUGGUCACCUCCGAAUUGAAACUUUUACAGAUGCAGAUUGGGCAGGAUCUCUCGAUGACAGGAGAUCCACAUCUGCCUACUGCACAACUAGUGGAGGGAACCUUGUCACUUGGAGGAGUAAAAAACAAAGUGUUGUUGCUCGGUCAAGUGCGGAAGCAGAAUACAAAGCAAUGUCCCAAGGAGUGUGUAAACUCUUAUGGUUGCAGAAGUUAUUGGAAGAGUUGAGAUUGUCCGAGAGAGACAAGAUAACCUUGUAUUGUGACAAUAGAGCUGCUAUAAGUAUAGCACAAAAUCCAGUCCAACAUGACCGAACAAAAUACAUUGAAAUUGAUCGGCACUUCAUUAAAGAAAAAUUAACGGACGGUGUCUUGAGCCUAGUUCAUGUGACUUCUACUGAGCAACUUGCGGAUGUGUUUACUAAAUGGCUUAACAACAAGAUCUACCAUAAUCUGAUUUGCAAGUUGGGCAUGUGUGACAUCUUUGCACCAAUUUGAGGGGGAGUGUUGACUUUUUAGCUAAUCUUAGCUGAUUCUAGGAAUUUGAUUGGAUCUGAUUAGGAUCCUUAAUUAUCUCUGUAAUUAUUAUUUGAUUAAUUAUUUGAUUCUUGUUUAAAUAUGAUUCUUUGUGUAUAAAUAGUCAUCUAGACCAAUUAUAAAGAUUAAGAGUGAAAUUGACAAGAAUACUCAAAAUUUUCUCAAAAUUCUUCAAAAGAAAAUGAAUUUGAAACAGGAAAAAGUUAAUUAUGAUCAUAAAUUGCAAAAUUUACCUUUUGUAUAUGGAUUUCUCCAUAAUAUCAACAAAAAACAAUUUUUUUUCCAUUUACUUAAAAGAGAAGGAAUGAAAGAAGAGGAAGAGACCUAUCUGAUGAAAAUAACACGAAUACUAAAAAUCAACUACUAACCACUAACCACAAACUCUUAACCCUAACCCUAACCUUAACCCUAUACUAACCCUAACACUUCACAAAUACUUAACAAACACUUCACAAACACAUAACAAACACUUCACAAACACUUAACAAAAACUUCAAAAACACUUAACAAACAAUAAACACUUGAACAUCAUACGUAAACUUCACACAUAAGUGUUUAUACAAAUACUUAAAAAACAGUUAACAAAUACUUUAACAAACACUUCACAAACACUUAACAAACACUAACAUUUAAGCAUCACACUUCACACUUAAAUACUAAACACCUUAACACACAAACAUACUCACACGCUUCAAACUUAACAAACAUUAACACUUAAACAUUACACUUCAUACUUUCACACUUAAAAAAUUAAACAUUUAACACUUAAACACACAAAUAAACUUACACACUCGUACACUUCAACAAACACUUAUACGUAACAAAAACUUAACAAAACACUUCAAAAAUACUGCACAAGGAUUUAACAAAUACUAACACUUGACAAACAGUAAUACUUAAAUAUCACACUUCACACUUAACACCUAAACACACAAACACUUUAACAGUACACACUUCACACCAUUUCACACUACACACUUCACACUUAAACAAAUAUUUUAACACUUUACGCUUCAAUAAACACUUUAACUUUUAACACCUUAACACUUCACACUUCACACUUCACAAACACUACCAUUCACCAAACACUACAACUUAAACAUCACACUUCACACAUAAGUAUUAACACCUUAACAGCUAAAUACACUUAAAAAAAACGUAACAAAUACUUCACAAACACUUAACAAACUAAUACCUAAGCAUCACACUUCACACCUUCACACUUAAACACCCCAACACACAAACACACUCACACACUUCACACUUAAGAAACACUAACACUUAAACAUCACACUUCACACUGCACGCUUUCACACAUAAACACUUAAACACCUAAACACUUAACACCUUAAGACCUAACUUUACAUACUUCACACGCUUCACACACUUCACACUUAAGAAACAAUAACACUUAAACAUCACACUUCACACUGCACAUUUUCACACGUAAACACCUAAACACCUAACUUAACACUUCACACACUUCACACUUCACACACUUCACAAACUUCACACUCUUCACAUUUCACACACUUCACACUCUUCACAACACCUAACUUCACACUUCACACACUUCACACUUCACACUUCACACUACACUUCACAUACAAUACACACACACUUUAAACUUCACACUCCACACUCUUCGCACUUCGCACUUCGCACUUCGCACUUCGCACUUCGCACUUCGCACUUCGCACUUCGCACUUCGCACUUCGCACUUCGCACUUCGCACUUCGCACUUCGCACUUCGCACUUCGCACUUCACACACUUCACGCUCUUCAUACUCUUCACAACACCUAACUUCAUAUUUCACACACUUCACACACUUUACACACUUUACACUUCACACACAAUUCACACACACUUCACACUUCACACUUCACACUCUUUGCACUUCACAUUUCACACUUCACACUCAUCACACUUGACACUCAUCACACUUGACACUUGACACUUCACACAUUUCACACUUCACACGUCACGCACUUGAACACUUUACACCCAUCACAAUUCACACUUCACACACUUCACACUUCCCCAAUUCCCGCACUUUGCACUUUGUCACACUUUGUCACAAUUCAAAUUUGUCAAACAUUUACACUUCACACAGCACACUUCACAUUUCACACUUUUCACACACUUCACAACAAGUGCUGAACAAAAUACUUACAAAACACUUCAAAAACACAUCUCAAGGACUUAACAAACAAUAACACUUAAAUAAACACUUAAAAAUCACACUUCACUAUUUACACCAAAACACCCAAACACAAACACUUAACCACUUCAAACCACUUCACCCUUCACACUACACACUUCAUACUUUAAAACAAAUACUUAAGCAUUUCAUACUGAAAUAAUUACUUUAACAUUCCACACAUGAACACAAACACACAAACACUUCACACUUGAACACUUAAUAGCUUAAAACAAACACCUUUAACACCUAAACACACAAACACACAAACACUUCACAAGUAAAUAAACACUUCACAAACAAUUACACUUAACUAACACAUAUAAAACACUUCACUAACAGUUAACAAACACUAACACUUAAAAAUUACACUUCACACUUAAAAAAAACACUUUAACACUUUAACGCUUAAACACACACUUUAACACUUAACACUUAAGCACACACUUUAGCACUUCACACUCAACACUUAACCACACACUUUAACACUUUAACGCUUAAACACACACUUUAACACUUAACACUUAAACACACACUUUAGCACUUCACACUCAACACAUAAACACACACUUAAACACUUAACACUUCAACACCUUAACACCUAAAUACCCAAACACCCAAAUACCCCAACACUAAUUGAUUUUAUAUGUACUAUUCCUAGAGAACUUACAUUUACAUUAUAAUAUAGGAAAGAGACUGAUUCAAGUAUAUAAUUUCUAUGAAUAAAAUUAUAUUUCAAAAACAUGUUUAAAUGCAAAACGAAAUUUAAAAAAUUAAAAAUUACAAAAAACCUUUAUCCUACCCCGCACUCUAAUAUAUAGAAGUAAGAAACUCUAUUACUUCAAUAAGAAUUAGAAAGCACCCGUCAAGUUUUGGCUUCAACUUCAUCUACUACCAAUAUAUUGUUGUGUAGUGCCAACUGUGCUUCUUCUAUCUGCAAACAAAAGAGUGAUUUAUGAGAAAAUAGAUAUCAACUGCAAAAUAAAGCUAGACCACUCAACUUGCAUCAUCAUAUGAAUUUAUAAAUACAUAUGCUUUUACCAACUCAAUAUGAUAAUUGACCUAGAACCUUGAUAAAUGGCAUGGACUCAAAAUCUCCUGCAAGCAUGAAAGUUGGUCGUAACAAACAGAAAAUUUUGAAAAUAAAUGUUACUGUCAUUUAUUAUAACUGUACCUAGAGUGUCAUCCAAUUCAAUGACACAUAUCUGCAGGUCCAGGCAUGCCUUCCACUGGUAUCAUUGUUACGCGUCCAAUCCACUUUUGAAUAGCAUCUAUAACGUGAGGAACAAUCUAUAGGUAGCAACAUUACACAAAGGCUAUUGCAAGCCACAAUAGCUGAUGGGUUCAAUAGUUAUUAAAUACCUGGACAGUUUUUUCAGAUAGUCUCCCCUUCUUUUCUUAUCUAUAACAUGCCAAAAGGAAAAAAAAUUAUUAAAAAGAAAUCAGCUAGCUGAUUAUUAUUUUUGAUUUCUCCUAGCAGCAGACACAAAAAUAAUCAAAAAAGAUGUGUAAGUUAAUCUCACCUAGUACAUUUUUUCAGUACUGAUAUUAUUGUCUCUUCUCAACUUGAUAUCCAAAAAAUUCAUAAUUUCUGAUGUCCAGGUUCACCUUUCAAACAACAAAAAAAAGUCAUUUUCUUCCUAACCUUUUAAGCAGUGAUACUUUCUAAACAAUAAUUAAUAGAGAUAAUAAAAGAAAUGAUAAUUAAAAAUUACUCGCCUUUUAGGAAAUAAGAAACUCCCACAUGUACAAAAUAAAAUCAAAAAAGCAUGUAAAAGAAAAUGAAUUCCAAACAGGAAAAAGUUAAUUAUGAUCAUAAAUUAGAAAAUUCACUUUUUGUAUAUGGAUUUCUCGAUAAUAUCAACAAAAAAAGACAAUUUUUUUUUCCUUUUACUUAAGAGUGGAGGAAGGAAGGAAUAGGAAGAGACCUAUUUAAUGAAAAUAACACGAAUACUAAAAAUCAACUACUAACUACUAACCACAAACUUACACACUUGUACACUUCAACAAACACUUGUACGUAACAAAAACUUAACAAAACGCUUCAAAAAUACUGCACAAAGACUUAACAAAUACUAACACUUAACAAACAAUAAAACUUAAAUAUCACAUUUCACACUUAACACCUAAACACACAAACACUUUAACAGUACACACUUCAAACCACUUCACACUACACAUUUCACACUUAAACAAACAUUUUAACACUUCACGCUUAAAUAAACACUAACUUUUAACACCUUAACACAAACACUUCACAUUUCACAAACACUACCAUUUACCAAACACUACAACUUAAACAUUACACUUCACACAUAAGUACUUCACACCCUUAGAGCUUAAUACAGUUAAAAAAAACGUAACAAAUACUUUACAAACACUUAACAAACUAACACCUAAGCAUCACACUUCACACCUUUACACUUUCACACUUAAACACAUAACAACUUAACACACAAAUACACUCACACACUUCACACUUAAGAAACACUAACACUUAAAUAUCAUACUUAACACUGCACGCUUUCACAAAUAAAUACUUAAACACCCAAACACUUAACACCUAACUUCACAUACUUCACACGCCUCACUAUUCACACUUAACAAACAAUAACACUUAAACAUCAUACUUUACACUGCACAUUUUCACACGUAAAUACCUAAACACUUAACACCUUAAUACCUAAACACCUAACUUAACACUUCACACACUUCACAAACUUCACACUCUUCACACUUCACACACUUCACACUCUUCACAACUCCUAACUUCACACUCUUCACACUUCACACAUCACACUUCACACUCUUCGCACUCCGCACUCUUCGCACUCCGCACACUCCGCACUCCGCACUCCGCUCCGCACUCCGCACGCCGCACGCCUUUCUCUCUCCAAAGCACUCUUCACAACACCUAACUUCAUACUUCACACACUUUACACUCUUCACACUCCGCACUCCGCACUCCGCACUCCGCACUCCGCACUCUUCACACUCUUCACAACACCUAACUUCAUACUUCACACACUUUACACUCUUCACACUUCACACUUCACACACAUCACACACACUUCACACUUCACACUUCUCACUCUUUACACUUCACAUUUCACACUUUACACUCGUCACACUUCACAAUUCACAAUUGGCACUUCACACACUCGAACACUUCAUACUCGUCACACUUCACACUUCACACUAUUCACACUUCCCGCACUUUGCACAUUGUCACACUUUGUCACACUUCACAUUUGUCACACACUUCACACUUCACACAUUUCACACACUUCACACUUUACACUUCACACAACACACUUCACACUUUUCACACACUUCACAAUAAGCGCAAAACAAAAUACUUACAAAACACUUCUCAAAGACCUAACAAACAAUAACACUUAAAUAAACACUUAAAAAUCACACUUCACGCUUUACACCAAACCACCCAAACACACAAACACUUAACCACUUCAAACCACUUCACCCUUCAUACUACACACUUCACACUUUAAAACAAAUACUUAAGCAUUUCAUACUUAAAUAAAUACACUAACAUUUAACACCUAAACACAAACACACAAACACUUCACACUUAAACACUUAAUAGCUCACCACAAACACCUAAACACACAAACAAUUACACUUAACAAACAAUUACAAAACACUUCACCAACAGUUAACAAACACUAACACUUAAAAAUUACACAUCACACUUAAAAAAAACACUUUAACACUUUAACACUUAAACACACACUUUAACACUUAACACCUAAGCACACACUUUAGCACUUCACACUCAACACAUAAACACACACUUUAACACUUAACGCUUCAAUACCUAAACACCUAAAUACCUAAACACCCAAACACCUCAACACUAAUUGAUUUUAGAUGUACUAUUCCUAGAGAACUUAUAUUUAUAUUAUAAUAUAGGAAAGAGACUUAUUCAAGUAUAUAAUUUCUAUGAAUAAAAUUAUAUUUCAAAAACAUGUUUAAAUGCAAAACGAAAUUUAAAAAUUUAAAAAUUACAAAAAAUCAUUAUCCUGCCACGCACUCUAAUAUAUAGAAAUAAGAAGCUCUUUUACUUCAAUAAAAAUUAGAAAGCACCCGUCAAGUUUUGGCUUCCUCUUCAUCUACUACCAAUAUAUUGUUGUGUAGUGCCAACUGUGCUUCUUCUAUCUGCAAACAAAAGAGUGAUUUAUGAGAAAACAGAGAUCAACUGCAAAAUAAAGCUAGAGCACUCAAUUUGCAUCAUCAUAUGAAUUUAUAAAUCCAUAUGCUCUUACCAACUCAAUAUGAUAAUUAACCUAGAACCUUGAUAAAUGGCAUGGAUUCAAAAUCUCCUGCAAGCAUAAAAGCUGAUCGUAACAAACAGAAAAUUUUGAAAAUAAAUGUUACUGUCAUUUAUUGUAACUGUACCUAGAGUGUCAUCCAAUUCAAUGACACAUAUCUGUAGGUCCAGACAUGCCUUCCACUGGUAUCAUUGUUACGCGUCCAAUCCACUUUUGAAUAGCAUCUAUAACAUGAGGAACAAUCUAUAGGUAGCAACAUUACACAAAGGCUAUUGCAAGCCACAAUAGCUUAUGGGUACAACAGUUAUUAAAUAUCUGGAGAGUUUUUGUCAGAUAGUCUCCCCUUCUUUUCUUAUCUAUAACAUGCCAAACGGGAAAAAAAUUAUUAAAAAGAAAUCAGCUAGCUGAUUAUUCUUUUUGGUUUCUCCUAGUAGGAGACACAAAAAUAAUCAAAAGAGAUGUGCAAGUUAAUCUCACCUGGUAAAUUUUUCCAGUACUGAUAUUAUUGUCUCUUCUCAACUUGAUAUCCAGAAAAUUCAUAAUUUCUG